GGCUCAGUGGUCCAAUGGUAAAGCGCUCGUCACGGAGCCAGAGGGUUUCGGGUUCGAUCCCCAACAGUGUCA
rnacentral:tRNA from 1 species